UACCACACAACAACACGCAUUCCAAGUUCAAUCAUACGAGCAAACAAUCCUUUAGUUAGAACAGUACACCAACAGAUCAAAAAUGAAAUAAAGUAUUUAAAAACAGAACCUACGUUACGCUACGAUCACAUAGAUACGAAGAUCACAAAAAUCAGAGCUAAAACGACCAAGUUACGAAUUUACGGUGAUUUCCUAUAGGCAUUUAAUUAAUUAAACCUAACCCUGAAAAUAAAAAGUGGCAAACUACAGAAACAGUAGUACUAUCAUGUAGAGAAUUUAAUUACGAACCUAACGCAAUUUGAACGGGUCAAUUCGGAGCUAUAACGAAUAUUUUAUGGCUAAAACAAUUUCAGUGGCAAUUUUGUAAUGUCCUGAAAGCGUAUUUUGACCUAACCGACAGAUAAUACGCUUUCUAAAAGACAAAGCGUAAUUUACGAAAUGUGCUAAGGACUGCGGGCACAAAAACUAAAUUCCAGGGGGACUCUUUAGCAAAACUGACCCGCGAAGGGGUACGGGGUGCCCUGGACCGUUGAUCCCCCGAUGAACGACCAGGAUUAGAAGGGGGAAGGGGAGAGAGGAAGGGCUCGCUGGCCGGCCGGCCGGAGCAAGGCCUCAGCGGCGGCGCCAUGGCCGGGAGAUCGCC
rnacentral:lncRNA from 1 species